AUUUAAAUAGCUUAUUUAGAGUAUAGUAUUGAAGAUACUAAGGAAAUAAAUUUUUAUUUUUAAAUA
rnacentral:tRNA from 1 species